rnacentral:rRNA from 1 species
GACGAACGCUGGCGGCGUGCCUAAUACAUGCAAGUCGAGCGCAGGAAGCGCGCGGAACCCUUCGGGGGGAAGCACGCGGAAUGAGCGGCGGACGGGUGAGUAACACGUAAGGAACCUGCCCCAGGGACUGGGAUAACUCCGAGAAAUCGGAGCUAAUACCAAAUCUGUCACGAGACCGCAUGGUCUUGUGAUGAAAGGCGCUCCGGCGUCACCUUGGGAUGGCCUUGCGGUGCAUUAGCUAGUUGGCGGGGUAACGGCCCACCAAGGCGACGAUGCAUAGCCGACCUGGGAGGGUGAUCGGCCACACUGGGACUGAGACACGGCCCAGACUCCUACGGGAGGCAGCAGUAGGGAAUCUUCCACAAUGGACGAAAGUCUGAUGGAGCAACGCCGCGUGAGUGAUGAAGGUUUUCGGAUCGUAGAACUCUGUUGUAAGGGAAGAACAAGCGUGAGAGGGAAUGCUCACGCCUUGACGGUACCUUGCGAGAAAGCCACGGCUAACUACGUGCCAGCAGCCGCCGUAAAAC